CCCUUGUAAAUCACUUCCAUCACUUUUUCUCCCAAGGAGUCUUCUGCAAAGUAUCUAGCAGCCCCUUCUAGCUGCACACCAUGGUGUGUCCCCAUCCACAGGUCACCCCUGCCUCCUCUGCUGCCCCUCUACCGCCUCUCUCAGAGUUUCUUCAGCCUCCAUCAGCCCUCUUGCCCUUCCUAGUACUUGUCUGUGGCACACCCUUCUCCUACAGCACCCAUGCAAAACCCACCUGGUUCCCUUACCUGGGAUUUCUGCCUCUUCCCAACCCAUGUGCUGUGGAGUUACAGCUGGGAUUGCCAUUGCUAAGUGAUGCGGUCAUCUGAUAUCAUGCUUUACAACUGCAUCACUUAGCGAUAGCAAUCUCGGUCCUUAUUGCUGUCGUCAUAACUUGUGGACUACCUAUAGACACCACGUUACCCAUAGACUCAAUUGAUGAGCUUCCUGCUCCUGCAAAGUAGCCAGUCGAGAAAGAAAUAUACUACAGGCAAAAUGAACAUCACCUUAGAUAUCAGAACAAAGAUUCCAUAAUCUCCAUAUGAUGAAAUGAUGGAAACCGAAAGUAGAAUUAGACUGUAUUCUCUCUGAUCCACCAAGAUCAGUAACAACCACCAUUGCAUAGUAUCUGCUAAGUUCAACCUGGAUAGAUGGUCCAAAGGACAUCAUGGCUAAGGAUAUCAAAAACUAGCUUAUUUUCCGCUCCUAAGGCAUCCUCAAACUGACUACGAAUGUUUUCAUCCUACUGCUGGACCUGAUGUAUAAUCGGAAAGAAUCUAAAGAAACAAUGGAAUUGGGACACCACUACAAGUUCCAAUGACUUUAUGAACAAAGAUUUUGUAGUGCUU